CCUCACGUGCCCUACAUUGUACCCUCAGGCCACUCAUCUGCUCACCACAACACUGGCAUUGCCUAUCCACUGUAAGCAAAUGGAAAAUGCAAAACAUCAUCCAUGAAGUCUUCAGGAAAAGAACUCAUGGAUCUCCUUUUAAUUGUGAAGAGGUUCCCAGACAUUUCUUCAUGGCUUACCUGCGUAGUCCAAGUCAUAGAUCAAGAAUCUACAGGAUUUAAAUGGCAAAUGUCAGCAUAUUUAUAAAUGGCUUUGGUAGAAUCAUGUUUUCAAACAUGCUCAUAAUUCUCUGUUAAGUGACAAGACCAUCACCUUCCUGUAAAUUAGUUCUUUUAGAACAUCUCAGUUUAGCCAGGUAACAACCACUGAAUAUUCACAAAAACAUCCUUUGGUGUUUACACCAAACAAGGAACAGCAUCCAGUAUCCAUGGAGCCCCUGUAACCAGGCAAAUCUGUGGCAGCUACUAAGCACUUGAGAGAAACGUGGGAAAAUCUACUGUUGGGAAAGACAGAAGACGAAAACCCAAUUCCAGGAGCCACUGGUUCAUGCUGCAACAUGCGUGGGUAAUCACCAGUUCUCCAAAAAGUACAGACAAUGGGCACAAAUGAAUCUUCAUCUCUCCUUAUCCUUUUCUAGCCUGAGGACAACGGAUGAUUAUGACCACUUCUGUCUGGAACUUAUAAUCACUAUGACUUUUCAUCCAUUCAACAGAUUUUAUUGAGCUUCUGCUCUGUUCUGGGUACUAUGUGGGCACCAGAAAAAAGCAUUUAAAUAAGACCUAGUCCCUGACUUUGGAUUUCUCACAGUGAAAUGAAAGAGGAAGGAACAAGUGCAUAUUGGCCGCAUAAUUAACAGUCACAUGUCUUGCCUGAUUGAGACAUCAUCACUGAAUGCAGCUCCUCAAAGGGACAGCUAGGAAAUUUUAAAGGCCUGACUUUGGUUGGUCUUUCUGUAUAAAGCAGAGCUGUGAAGAGGCCGGGAGUCUUCCAAGGUUAGCAGGCUUCUGAGCUUCUGGGGGAAGGAGAAAAGGAGAACUAGGUCACACGUGCUGUGCCUGGUUGCCUGGAAUUGUUCUCCUAGUUGUGCUCAGGGAAAAGGACAACUUGACUUCAGUCUACUGGAAUGCACAUCAGCUGGGAGUGUCUGCUUGACCCUAAAAGGUUAUGUCAGAAACUUUCAAGUUGUGGAAUGUUGCUUGCUCUGUAGAAACACCAGAAGAUCUCACACCUGAAAGGACAACAUUCCAGACAAAAAUGUUCCGUAUCCUGGCCUUUAGAAAUGGGAACGCUGAUUUGCUGUGUGUGUUAAUGUGACUGUAGGAACACAGAUGGUUCUCAUGCUGCUGGACACUUCUGAUUUUAUUUGGUCAAAGUUAUAACCUGUGUGUUUCCUUAUGAUAUUCUCUUGGGAAAGCUCUGGUGAUGGGUUCCUUUAGUGCUCCAGCUGGAGUGAUCCUUCAAUUGCACUCAUUUGUGGCCACCUAGACUGUCAAAAAAAAAAAAAAAGCAAAGAUCAGAUCUCAUUGACUAUUCCUGUUAUUGGAGAACUAGGGAGAGUUAUUAUCAGCAUGCCCAGAUUGUCUCAGGCUUCCCUGGUAGCUCAGAUGGUAAAGAAUCUGCU
ensembl:lncRNA